AAAUCAAAAUGUGUUGAAACCUGGUUGAGGUAAGAGGCCACUGAAGUUAGGGUUAAGUCCCAGCUCGAUAAGACGUUCCUAGCCAGACUUUGACUAGGUCGAAAAAUGAACGGGAGUCUAUGGCAGCUACAUGAAAGGAAUGGGCUAGGACCACCAAACAUGGCGGGGACCUGCAGAGGGUUGGAGGGAGAAUACGAAUCAAGUUUGGUCAAAUGAGCACUUCUUUUUGUACUUCACCAAUUUUCCAUUCUGUGUGCACCACCCAGGUCCGUUUAACAGUUUCAGGACCUGACCAGCACCCCUCAGCAUCAUUUGCUUGAGAAAUAAUGAGAUUUGGAACCUAUUGGAACUUCUUCAUCUUGCCUGAACUACCAGAGACUGUCAGGAUCUGCGGCUUCAGCAGUUCCUCUGGUUUCCUUCUAGGUGGCGUUCGAGAGCUCGCUGCCGUAUUCACACACCCUCUCCACAGGUGUGUUUCGGCACACCUGUGGAUCAUCAGCGGGAGCAUAUUAGGAGCGGGUUCCCGGCACUUCGUCGCCAAAGUGUUGUCGCCUUUGUGGCUCCCUGUUGUCUGGACACUCCAUGCGAAGUACGGGAUUUGCAGUUCCAUCCGCUGAGCUCCCUGACGAGUUACGCCCACCUACCAGCUGUUCGAUCACACCGGUCCGCUCCUGAUCAGACGCUCC